GGGGGAAGGAGAGAUCCCCUCCCCCACUACCACCUUUGUUGCUUGCUAGAGCCUCCCGCUAGCCAAGGGGCAGCCACUCCCUUCCUAGAGAGAAGAGAGAGAUUCUCUCUCUAGAAAGUGGAGGAGGAAAAGGAUAAAGAUCCUUAACAAGUGGUAUUAGAGUAAGGAUAUUCUCUGUAGGACUAACUGCCAAGGAAGAUAAGGAUGAUUGACUUGAUUGCUCUGCCGAAGUAUGAAAGGGAAAGCUUAUGGGAUAUCACCUUUUGGAUAGUGAAAAUGAAGGCUUUCUUCGAGUCAGAUUGGGGGAUCAUGAUGGUUGUCGAGGAAUCAUUUAAAGUUCCAAGAGACAAGAAAGGGAAGCGAUUUUGACCACAUUAUUGGAUCGAGGAGUAAGGCUCACGAUCAAAGGUGAGUUCAAGAACAUCCAUGAUUUGUGUAGCAAGGUAAAUAUGGUUUUAUUUGAAGAACCUAAGCCUACACACGAAGAAGAAAAGUCCAAUGAAAGGAAUAUAGUGGCUCAAGUGGAGAAGGAUCAACUAGAAGCUGACAUGUGUUCAACUUUCAAGGAGAAGGAAGAUGAGGAAGUGUUGUCCACAUCUUCAAGAGUUGAAGAAGAAUCCAAGACAAGUAAAGAAGAAGUCUUGAAAGUCAACCUUGUAAGCAUCUCAACCGAAAUUAAGUCAAAGACCAUAUCGUUUGCUUUUGUUGUAAUGAGAAAGGACACUGCAAAAGUAGGUGCUCAAUGGGUGAGUAUAAGGUAAAUCUUAAAUCCACUCAAGUUUUUUUAAAUACUAAUAUGGGUUGUAGGAAUGAAGAAGCUGAAAGGAAGAGAAUGCGCAUUGUGUGCUUCACUUGUGGGGAGAAAAAUCACUACCACACUAAAUGCCCUAAGAAGAGGGAAAUCAAGAAGCUAGCAUUUGAAGAAAUCGGAGAAGAUGAAAAGCUCAAGUCAAGGGGGAGUUUCAAGGGUAA